rnacentral:rRNA from 1 species
UACGAGCCACACAAACGUUAUUCGGAAUUACUGGGCUUAAAGGGUGCGUAGGCGGCGCGGAAAGUGGGGUGUGAAAGCCCUCGGCUCAACCGAGGAAUUGCGCUCCAAACUACCGUGCUUGAGUGAGACAGAGGUAAGCGGAACUUCGGGUGGAGCGGUGAAAUGCGUUGAUAUCCGAAGGAACACCGGUGGCGAAAGCGGCUUACUGGGUCUCAACUGACGCUGAUGCACGAAAGCCAGGGUAGCAAACGGG